CAAACAUGGCGCUUACGGACUCGAAAUUAAGUGGGAAUGGUUUUCUGCUGCCUUAGUAUUUGAUGGUCGUGCUCUAGCAAUUGUAGUUUUCAAGUGUGAUUGAUUUUGUUGAAAAAAAUGAGUUGUGCAUUACUGAGGGUAGAGGAUGUCUGAUGUGGACCGCGAGAGACUCGCGGUGCCUCCAGCUCAUAGUGUUUUCUCUCAACAUACUAACACCGGUAGUUAUAGUGGCACGAGCAUUGCUGGCACUUCUGCUGCACCUCCGUUUGCACCACGUCCCCAUUAUGGGCAACAAGUUCGGCAGCAGCAUCAACAAAGAUUGCACAGCACUGCUGCUUCUAGUCGAAGUGGAGCAACUUCUGCCCAUACAGAUCGCAUUCCACCAUCAGCAGUUUCAGGAGCAUCAUCUGCUUCCUCUACAGAAUGCAAUAUCCACGAAGUUUGCUACUAUUUCCAACAAGCAAUUUUUAUAUUGGCCAUCAUGACAGGAGUUGCGCUCGUCAUAGCGGGCGCUGUCAUGCAUGUUCAAAAUGGAGAGCUUCUGGUGCUUGUGUACAUAGGUGUCCUUCUUGGUGCUGUCAACACUGUGUUACUGACAAUACAGUGCUGUGUCCGGCGCAAACAAAAGAAACGUUCAAGGGCAUACCGUGCCACUCGUCCUCCUCAGGGACCUCCUUCAUCUGCGCCUUCUAGUGCUGUUGUUCGUUAUGAUCCUCUCAGUAAUCCUCUGCUUUCAACCACUCAGACUGUACCUUCUGCUGAAGUCCAACAGUAUCAUUAUAAGCACUACCACAUACAUUCGCAGAAUGUAGCACAAACUCCUUUUCAAGAUUUCCCAGUGCAACAAGGGGUUUUUGCACAAUCGCCUACUGAAUCUUCUCAGACUCGCUUUCAUCAUGGGGUGCCAUACCAUAGGUCAGGAUCAAUGGUUAUGCAUCAUAGACAUGCCAAAGGAAUGUAUCAAAAGUCUCCUCCACUGGGACAAGUGCACAGACCUCUCCUCAAUACAUUAGGACCCCAAAAAGCAAAUGUAAGAUCUGAAAUGUGUCCCCAAGAGCCGACUGCACCUCCUCCAAGUUACGAAGACCUACUGCGUACUGGCCGCCUGACACAAGAUGGCACGACAGUUCAUUUGAUCUGAAGUUCAUUCCAGCAGGUUCUGUUUUUCAUAAACAUAUCAGAAUCAUUCCCUGAUAAGCUCAGAUUGUACAUGUUAUAGCUUUUUAUUAUUAUUAUUGUAGGGCAAAACAUAGGAGGCUGUCUUCCGAAGGAGUGGAUGGCUUUAUUAAAAAAUUUCUGAGGGAAACUGGCUCUUGCUCACAUUAUGCAUGGAGAAACCAACCAUGCAGCUGCCCUGUUUGCUUGUGAUCGAACAUACGUUAAACUCCCACUAUUCAGCAGUCUUGCAGUGGAAGGAGAUGCUGUAAAAUUUCUGCAGGAAUACUGUAGUUUGCAAGGAUGUUAGAAUAGGAGGAGAGAUGAUUCGCAGUUUCUUCCACUAUCUGAAAAUAAAACCUACCUAGCAAGUGGCAGCCAUGUUUGUGAACUUAAAGUGCUGCUUUAUGCCAAUAAAACAUACAUAUUUCUACAGUAUUCUAUCAAUGUGUUUUCCCUAUAAAUAUAUAUUGAAUUUAUAAUGAAAUCCCUUGCUUUUGUUAAAUUUUUGUUUUUUCAAGAUGAUAUCUAUAAUUUACAAUGUACAGAAAAUUAUCAAGAAAUAGUGCAGGAUCUAAAUGCAUAUAUAUAAUAUUAAAGCCUUGAAAAUGAUGUUUCUGCAUAUUUCAAGGAUUUGUUUGGUUUUAUUAGGUACCUGUUAGGUGUACUUUCCAAUUAUUGCUUUAAAAACAGAUUUUUUUUUAAUUCUAAAUAUCAUAAUAUAUCAAUGAAUCAUAUUAUAUAAAAUUGUUUUAGGAAUAGGGAAGAAAGUUAUUUUAAUAUGCUUAAUAGGUUGUUGUUGCUUUGGGUUGUAAUAUGCUGAAACAGAAAGUCACAUAUUUUUUAUUGACAAUGUUAUUUAAAUAGCUCAUUAUCCAAGCUAAUUCAUAUUUAUGAAGCUCGAUUAAAGAAAUUACCUUGAAUUAAGCUGAAUUGCAGAAAUAUAUUUACGUAAAUUUUUGGAUAUGUCUAUUCUAACAUAUUCAGUUAUGGUAAAUAUUUUACUUGUUUUUAUCACUAGAAAUUUAUAAGCUUAUGCAAACAAUUUUUAACAACACAACAGUUUAUCUUGAUCAAAUGCACAAAUUAUAUUCAUAACCAGGGCUGUGGAGUCUGUAGAGAAAAUGGCCAACUCUGACUCCUUGAAUUUUAAAGAUUUUUUGAUGUAGCAAAUUAUUUAUAUUAAUUAGCAUUUAUUAUGAAAUUGAAAAACUAGCAUUAGUUAUUUCUAAAAAACGGUAUAACUUCGGCAAGAUCUUCUGAUU
rnacentral:misc_RNA from 1 species